CUGACUCCGCCCCAGGCUUUUUACUCAGCUGAACUCACUUCUAGUGUUGGCGUAUAGCACAGGAGAAAACAUGCUGGGAGAGAAGUGGCAGGCAUCAGCUUCUGCACCCUAAACUCUUGAACUUUUGAAUUAUUGAUUUAUUUAUUUUAUAAAUGAAUUUAUCAUUUACCCGCCAUUUGGCUCUGAAAGUCAAGGUGGCUCACAUAAUCAGUUAAGAACAUUACAUAAUCAAAGCAAUAACAUGUUUUUAAAAGCUUAAAAAAAACAGAGACAGCUAAAAUACCAUUUUACAACAGGGGCAGAGCAGCAUUGGGGGUUAAGACAAAAGUUUGGCAAGACAGAAAAAGAGUUUACCAGAUUGUGGAAAAACUAAUACAUUACAUUACAAGGAAAUGGAUACAAUUUGCUUCCAAGAAGACUGGAUGACAUUACAUCAAAAGAAGUGUCAUCCCACACUCUGAAGUGCAUUUUUCCCUUGUGUUCCUAUCACAUAAAGGCCAAUCUUUUGGAGAAGUGGAUUUGUUGCUCAAGACCUCCAAAUCAACUUUAACUGCACCACCUGAAUUUGCUGAUAUGAGAUUGAAUCUACCCCAAAAUGGCAACAGUCUGGAAGCGCCCUCAUUCUUAUUAACAUAGGGCCAAUACCUGUCAUUACUUUUAAGGAACCUUCACUCUCUUUUUCAUAGACAGAGAUGUGGUGUACAGAUACAGAACCAAUUGUGGUUGGAGAGAAGAAGAAACAAAUAUUGGCGUUCACAAGAUGAAAAACCCAAGAGAAAUAAAUUGGCUUUGUGUGGA